GUCCACGCCCUAAACGAUGGGCACUAGGUGUGGGAGGUAUCGACCCCUUCCGUGCCGCAGCUAACGCAUUAAGUGCCCCGCCUGGGGAGUACGGCCGCAAGGUUGAAACUCAAAGGAAUUGACGGGGGCCCGCACAAGCGGUGGUGCAUGUGGUUUAAUUCGACGCAACGCGAAGAACCUUACCUGGGCUUGACAUCCCUGGAACCUCCUGGAAACAGGGGGUGCCGCAAGGAGCCAGGAGACAGGUGCUGCAUGGCUGUCGU
rnacentral:rRNA from 1 species